GCUUGUCUCAAAGAUUAAGCCAUGCAUGUCUAAGCACAUGCCUUAAUACGGUGAAGCCGCGAAUAGCUCAUUACAACAGCCAUCGUUUACUAGAAAAUCGUUGUCCUACUUGGAUAACUGUGGCAAUUCUAGAGCUAAUACAUGCGAACAAAUCUCUUUCCUUCGCGGAUCGAGAGCAUUUAUUAGAAUAAAAACCAAUCGAGCCGUCAAAAGCUCUUUGGUGAAUCUGAAUAACUUUGCCGAUCGCACGGUCCUGGUACCGGCGACGUAUCUUUCAAGUGUCUGCCUUAUCAACUUUCGAUGGUAGGUUAUACGCCUACCAUGGUAGUAACGGGUAACGGAGAAUAAGGGUUCGACUCCGGAGAGGGAGCCUGAGAAACGGCUACCACAUCCAAGGAAGGCAGCAGGCGCGCAAAUUACCCACUUCCAGAACGGAGAGGUAGUGACGAAAAAUAACGAGACAGUCCUCUUCGAGGUCUGUCAUCGGAAUGGGUACAAUUUAAAUCCUUUAACGAGGAUCUAUUGGAGGGCAAGUCUGGUGCCAGCAGCCGCGGUAAUUCCAGCUCCAAUAGCGUAUAUUGAAGUUGUUGCGGUUAAAACGCUCGUAGUUGGAUCUGCGGCCUGAGAGAAUGGUCCCCCGAAAGGGUGGUAACUGUUACUCUUAGCCUAAAUUUUUAGUCUACUCUAUGGUGCCUUUAAACGGGUGCUUAGAGUGACUAGAACGUUUACUUUGAAAAAAUUAGAGUGCUCAAAGCAGGCGAAUUCGCCUGAAUAAGGUGCAUGGAAUAAUGGAAUAGGACCUCGGUUCUAUUUUGUUGGUUUUCGGAGCCUGAGGUAAUGAUUAAGAGGAACAGACGGGGGCAUUCGUAUUCCGGCGCUAGAGGUGAAAUUCUUGGACCGCCGGAAGACGGACGACUGCGGAAGCAUUUGCCAAGAAUGUUUUCAUUAAUCAAGAACGAAAGUUAGAGGUUCGAAGGCGAUCAGAUACCGCCCUAGUUCUAACCGUAAACGAUGACAACCAGCGAUUAGUCGGCGUUAAUAUAUGACCCGACUAGCAGCUUCCGGGAAACCAAAGUUUUUCGUUUCCGGGGGAAGUAUGGUUGCAAAGCUGAAACUUAAAGGAAUUGACGGAAGGGCACCACCAGGAGUGGAGCCUGCGGCUUAAUUUGACUCAACACGGGAAAACUCACCCGGCCCGGACACCGUAAGGAUUGACAGACUGAGAGCUCUUUCUUAAUUCGGUGGGUGGUGGUGCAUGGCCGUUCUUAGUUGGUGGAGCGAUUCGUCUGGUUAAUUCCGAUAACGAACGAGACUCUGGCCUAUUAAAUAGCCGGUAUAUAUCGAAAGUUUACCGCGCUUCUUAGAGGGACAAGUGGCGUCUAGUCACAUGAAAUAGAGCAAUAACAGGUCUGUGAUGCCCUUAGAUGUCCGGGGCUGCACGCGCGCUACACUGAAAGAAUCAGUAUGCGCACGUCGCCUAGUUCGGAAGAACCGGGUAACCCUAGCAAAUUCUUUCGUGCUUGGGAUAGGGAAUUGCAAUUAUUUCCCUUGAACGAGGAAUUCCCAGUAAAUGCGGGUCAUAAGCUCGCGUUGAUUACGUCCCUGCCCUUUGUACACACCGCCCGUCGCUACUACCGAUUGGAGGACUUAGUGAGGUCUUAGGACUGAAGUUGAGGAGCUUUAACCGGUUCCUUUUCUUCGGAAAUUUGAUCGAACUACGUUAUCUAGAGGAAGUAAAAGUCGUAACAAGGUUUCCGUAGGUGAACCUGCGGAAGGAUCAUCAACGAGCUGAAAAUAAAAUAAACUGACGAUAUGAGGGCUAGUUUUCGUUUGACGGUGGAAUGUAAACCGGAAAACUCUCUCACUCUCUCUCUCUCUCUCUACCGCUAGUCGUUGUCUUAACCGCGAUCGUCUUUUCGGUGAAGACUCAUCAUCAUCAUCAUCAUCAUCGAUGAUGAAAGAGAGGGAGAAAGGCGAAAAUGGGCUAGAAGGCGCCUUUUAAAAAAAUGCCUGAUCGCAGACGUUUCGAGGAAUGAAGCGGGUCGACCGUUUACGAGUGGAAAGCGUGCGCGAAUGUAAAUAUAACUAGCCUGUGUUAGUUUUUUUUUAUAUUCACGCUUUUCACAUUUACUCGCUAGCUCCUCUUUCGGGUACCUAACGAAUACUAACGAUACAGUGAUCCGUCUGGCUGUACAGAAUCGCGUUAGAUUCGGAAUCCUUAUCGAUUUUGAUCGACAACGACGGUUCGUUCGUUCGAUCGAUCGAUCGAUCGAUCGAUCGAUAAGGCUAGGUUUAAAGAGUCGCCGCCGCCGCCGCGUGAUGACGAUCUGACCAACCGAACGUAUAUUGAUUGGUCCGAUCGAUGGUCGUCUUAGCGCGUGAUCGGCGUCCGCCCGGAAAACCUAAAAAUAUAUACUUUGAUAUAAUACAUAUAUAUAAAGGAGACUGGAGUACGAAUGACGAUGUACGAGAGAGUCCUCUAAUAAAAAGAUUCAGAGAGAUUCCAUUCUAAGCGGUGGAUCACUCGGCUCGU
rnacentral:rRNA from 1 species